ensembl:lncRNA
CAAUAAUCCAGUGCAGAAAAUAAGAGCUGCAGAUUGGAAUGGCUCUCAGAGUAAAAAUAACUGAUUUAUUGUUCUUUUUUUUUCACAUAUAUUACAGUGUUCUCGCAUAUUAUUGCAAUUAUUUCUCAUACAUUAUUUCCAAUAAUUCAUUAUUCAGUUCUUUAUACUUAUUAUCUCUUCAGUCAUUUACUUCAAAUACAAUAGGUUCAGUGACACGUUUGGUUAAAGUCAUUCAUUCCAAAAGACAGAUUGGAAAACAAGAUCUUAGUGCUUAUGAGGAUUUGGGACUAGUAGAUAUGGACGUUUAUGAGACUCAGAAGAGGCCAUUUCAUGUUACCAGAUGUGUUAAAAUAACAAUCUCAAAUAUGUUUAUUUAAGAAUCAAAGUUAGUUCAUUAUUUUGGGUUUGCUUUAGUAAGUAGGACUUAAAGCAAACCAGUCUGCUUAUUUUGACUGAUGUAUUCAACUUUUCUCUCUCCUUGUGAGAGAACAGAGGGUAAUCAUGCUGCAGUAAUGCCAAGCAAGGUCAACCAAAAUGCUUUCAGAGGGACUUUGCUAUGUAGAAUAUUUUGGAAUAUGAGUUUAGCCAAUAUUUACUUUCAACUUUAAAAGUGCCUGUCCUCAAUCAAAUACUUACCCAGAUAAUUAUAAAUACAGCAAAAAUAUAAAUAAUGACAAAGCCUUUCAGACUAAGCCAGAUUCUAAAACCUAAGAGACCAACAAGAAGACAGAAGUUUUCCAGCAGUUGUAUGACUUGCUUUGUUUCUAUGCAGUCUUUUUUUCCUGCCUGAAAGCAACCACAGGUAAAGAUGUUUUCCAGGAUUUCUUGAAAGUUAAGAGGAUUUAGUGUGAGCCUGAGAUGGCUAGGGAGAGCAUAAGUUGUGGGUUACCCAGAAUGGAUCAUCACUGCCAAGUAAUUCCUGCUCUGCAGUUUGGAAGCUGAUAAUGUGAGUAGUCCCGCUUGACUGAACUGCAACAAUAACUCAAAGGUAGUUUCAAAGGCUGUGAAGGCUUAGACCACACAGGUCACAGAAAGCAAAAUUGGCCACUCAAAUAUUUAAGGUAUGCUUUUUUCCCUUGGAAUAACUGUCUAUGUCAACCUAGCCUUCCCGAGAGUUUAGGACAGGAAAGAGUCCUCCAGAUGUAACUUGAAGAAGAUUCACUGUCAAACUGUGGAGAGAAUCUACGUUCAAGUAACAAAGUUUGAAGGUCCAGCAACAGUCUCAGAACAAAGAACCAACCCUGGUGUAAACUAUUUAAUUCAAGCAAUAUGAAAUAAAUCCUUCAGCACUGAUGUUUUCUCCCAGUUUCCAUGGCGAUGGGUGAUCUAGCUUAUGAUUUUUAACAAGUCUUCUGGAGACGGAGUAGCAUAAAUGAAAAUGCACAAUAACUUAUCUCUUUCAUUGAGUAAAAAUAUAUUCAAUAUUCCCUGUUCUUGAGAUGAAGUCAAGAGAUGCCACUGAUGAUAAACCAAUUCUGGCAAUGUCUGUUUCUGUAAUUUUGAAGUUGCAGCAAAGGACUAACUUUCUUUCAUGAAAGAAAUAUACAAAAAAAAUUACAUAUUAUGUUUGUCUCUGCUGAAGUCAGUGAUGUUGCCCUCAGUGGACUGAGAAAGCUUCACAGCCAUCAGAGCAGCCCUUUUUUGCCCAGAGUGUGACCAAGGGGAUCCCCUGCAACAAAUCAGAGGACAAACAUAAUGCUGUUUUAGUGUGUUUUAGCUCUCAAACAAACAAUAGCAAAGCCUAUUUGAGUUAAGAUGGAGGAUCCAUGUCCAGAUUGUGAAAGCUACCUUUAGUUGUGGAAACACUGAAAUCAUGAAGUCUCUCUGACAGUGUCACUUGUUGACUUCCAACAUACUUUUGGUACUCAGCAAUAAUACAUAAGAAAAAUAUGCUUCAUGAUUGUAAGUUGAAACAAAUGUGCAUUGUAGGUAGACUUUUGAAUCAAUCUUGAUUUCUUGUUCUUUCUUAGUAAGUGUCCAACUGUCCUUCACCUUUCUCAACCAGACAAGCUGCAAACUGUUUUUUAUCACUGCACUUGGGGUGAUACAUAUUGCUUGGACUCAGCAGCAGCAGAAGUUGCACAAAUUGUUCUUUCAUCAUGGCUGCUGUGGCUGCAGUCUUGGCUUUGGCUUCAGUGAUCCCAUAAGUAGAAGCAGAGAGCAGAGCUGGAGCUCUCUGAAAAGAUCCUUCCUCUGGAAAAGAGACACAAAAUCGGGAAGUGGGGAGUGCUGUCAGCCGAAGAGUAGCAAGGCACGUCUCCUUUGUAAAGCUAUGACAUCCAUCUUCUCAGGAGAUGAACACUCACAGUUUAGAAAAAUCUGCUGCUGUUUUAAACUCUCCAUAUAGACAAAUGCAGUGAAAAUGGAAAAGGAAUGUGCAUCACACAACUUGUGUAUUGUAUCUUCUAGAUAACUGUAAACUCAGUGAAAUGCAGUGCAUGCAUCAAAAGCUUUGAUGGUAGGCUUUUCUCAUAUUCAACAAUGGAAAUGGGGGAAAAAAGCCUAAAAAUGUGACUGCAAGGACAAGUUCCCCCCCAAGUACAAAGUGCAGUGAUGGUGAUGUACAUGAAAGGAAUUAAAUCACUAUUUCAUCCCAUCAAUGGAAACCAGUGGUUGUCCUGAAAAUUUAUUUUACUGUGUUCUGGAAUGUUUCUAUCUGUGCACACAGGGUACAAAGGGAGGUGGCUUUAAUGGAAGAAAAACAUAGCGUCAUCUAUAAUGUCACUCGUGAUCUUAAGAGUUGCCUUCAAACAGGAGAGUUGAUAUAAAGGAGCUAAUGGGUCCAUUCUACUACCCAUAAAGGGAGCGGAGGACAUUACAGCUGCUAGGCUCUCUGAGUUUGCCUGGCAGACUGAUUUUCAAGGCCCAAUUUUUCUGUGCUCUAUGUCAUUUGAAAGUAGACUAUAAGUACCAGCUUUUCUGAAGUUAACAGAAGUUCUACUAUUGACUUUGAUGGCACCAAGAUUUCAUAAAUACGAUUGUUGUUUUUUCACUUGACUGAAGUGUUAUUUUUGCUUCAAAAUGGAACUUUAACAUUGGUACCUUCAGCCCAUAAGAUCAUAUACAGAAUAUUGCUUUUAAUUGCUAGCCAUACACUGCCAGUUCCACAUCAUGUCAAUGAUCAGAGAAAUAAGUUCUGGUACAGCUAGUUAUUCUGCACAGAUCAUAAAUGCAUUCAGUAUGGCAGGAUCUUAUAGGAGAGGGAAUGUGUUUCAUUGGGCAAACUGCUAUAGUUGGAAAAGUGAUUGUGUUUUGAACCAUACAAGCCCUUCUUCUGCUCUAAUGAAAGCAGAUAUUUCUCAUAUUGAAAGAACAAUACUACAGCUCUAUAAGACCGUAGCACAUGGGAAUGCAUUCAGGAAGGAGAUGUUACUUUCAAACAGUAGGAUAAAUAAAUCACUGAAGUUCUGUUGGAAGAAUAACCAGUGUAAAAUAAGCUUGUUUAAUAGCUUUACAAUUGGAGAAGCCUCAGACUGAAGUCUGUGAGCUGAAAAUUGGUGACCAUCUUAAACAGAGGCUACAUAUGAGAAAGAUUAACCAUUAAAUUAUUGGCUGCUAGGAGGUGCAGUCUGUAGAUCACAGACUUAAAGUUAUUGGAAUUUUCUUUUACAAACAGGCAGAGGAUGAGACAGAGGUGAGUUGGUUGCUACUGGCCCUAGUUAGCUCCAGUCCCCCAAGAAAACUGUCUGGAGUCCUAAGGACUGAGAGGCUCUUGGCAGCAGCAAUCAAUAUGAUGCAGUGCUCCUUUGAUUGCUAGACAAAAGUUCAGUGAUUAAACUUCAGAAUCUCAGAAUCAAAUGUUUUAGAAAUUUUGAUAGUGUGAAAAAGGAUUAACUGGAAAAACUGCAUUACAUUUAAACAACACAAGGAUUGGGAAGUAGGCUGGAAUGUAUCUGACUAAAUUUGAUUAAGACUGCACUUUCAGGCAACUCAUUUAUUUGUGUUGGGAUCAAUGUUUUAAGAGUCACAAUUUAAUUACAAAGCCACAAUUUAUGCUAAGCAUCUUUAUGCUGUUCUGUAUUACUCAUAAUGUGUGUAGCAUUUGAAUUCAUUUGACACCAACAUCAAUUUCUGAAAAUGCUCAUAUUCCCAAUUGCUUUCCAAUUGGAAGAGGAGAAUUUAUUACAUUACUUAUGCUAUGCUUUAAUAUUGUAUUUGUACAUCUGUAUCUACCAUCUUUUCUUCCUCACACUUCAGUGGGGUCUCAAUUAUUUUAAAGUAAUUUCCUAACUUUUACUAAAUCAAGGAGAAUUAUCUACAACCUCUAAACCCAGAAUGAAGUAAUUUAACCUGACGGUUUCAUCACCCAUACCACACAUUUCAGAUCUACUUAUUUCUCAUUUGUUUGCCCUGAAACUAUAUCAUAAGGAGAAUGGCAAUUUCAAGGAAGCAAUAAAAUAAUAAUCAUAUCAAAAGUAAAAAUUAAAAUUUCAGUCUGUGCAUAUCAUAGAAGCAUUAUAAUGCUCAAUAUUGUCAUUUGAUUAUAUUGUAAAGUAAUUAUACUUAGAUUUUUUCCUCUUUCUUACCUUCCUAAUAUGCUGCUGAUAUCAAUUUUGUGGCAAGAGUAUAUAAUUAUCAAACAUGAUUUCCUACAAACUCAGGCUCAAAACGCCAUUUGGAUCUAUGUGAAUAACUCCACUGAAAUCCAUAGGCAGAUUUUAGCCCUGAUAUCAGUAGCUAUUCUGUUUUCACUAUCAGAUCCUAGGGUCAAUUCUUGCCAGCACUUUUGGGGUUCAUUUAGGAUCUUUUUAUUUCAUAUUCAUUGAUUUGAGUGCUUCCUGGAUUUUAUCACCUAAUUAAAAUUUCAACUAAUUUUUUGGGUGCUUUGAGGUCUUUGGGAUGAGGAUUGGGGAUUUUCAGAUGAAUUGGUUUCACAGUUUUUAAGGGCAGGAUAUGAGUUGCCUCCUGUUGGACUGAGAAUUUCUAACUUUCAUUUGUUCUGCAGAAAAAGUUUGGCAAAGUGGCAGUAUUAGCAGAUGGUGUGGAGUGGGACAAGAGACAGUCACCAUCAAGUCAUGAAUCUUUCUAUGUUGUUUCCAUGAAAAAAAGACUCAUAGCCAGCUGGGCUGCAAUAUCAAAAAAUCUCAAUUUAUAUAUGUUCAGUGAGCAAUUGUGAAGAAGAAAAGAAGCAAAGGUGAGCAAAGAGAAGACAAUAAAGGAGACUGGAAGCACGGGAAGCCUUUAGAGUUGACAGCAGAUUUUGGGUAACUGUAGAAGACAGUGGAUGAGGCUAGUAGUAGUAUAGUACACAUAAAAGAACCACAUAUUGAUGAUUCUUCUAGUAAUUUUUCUUAAAACCUUCUUUAUAGGUAUUAAGAAUGAGGAAACCGGAGGAAUUAUGAAAAGAUCUACCGAGUUAACUAAUCUAAUGAAGACAUUAGGGAGAUCUUGUUCAAUGGCCAGAAUCUUUUUUUUUUUCCUUUCUGACAAAGUAAUGAAGCUUUCUGCAUGGAAGAAAAUAAUGGUCCUAAGAACACAGAAUGACACCUUAUAAAAAGCAAGCUGACUUGCUUAAGAUGGAAGGAGAUCACCCCUGUGGUGCUUGAGUAUCUGAUGACCAUCCUCACUGAGCACACAGGGAAUCCCCAUGCCUAUCAGGAUAUCUCCCUAAAGUAUGAGCCCAUCUUUGCUCUAGACGCAGAGGGACUGGGAGCUCCUGAAAGCGAUCUUGGGGUCAGUGCAGAUGUCUUUUUUUCAGUGCUCUGUACUUCUAUCCAGUGAACUCUCAUCAGUAAUCCUCACAUCUUAACUGCAGUAAACAUUGUCAGGAAGGAGAUAUGACAACCUGCCUCAAAAACCUUGGAAAUAAACACUGAAAGAUUUUCUUGGCUGCUGCAACAAAUAUAAACACUCAGACCUGUGGAAACAAAAAUGAUGCAAGGACCAGCCUUGUCAUCUUGACAGUAGUGAAGAACUAACUGCCUAGGGGAGUAGAACAGAUUCUCUCAGCAGCUUCUCUCUAAGCUGUUUGCAGAACUGGAAACCAAGCAUCUGAAAGACUCAGACAGGAUUACACUGUUUUUUCUGCUUGAUUCCCUACAGUACCCCAGAAGACAUCCCAUGAUGUUCUUACAUGCACAAACACCAAUCUCCCUAAGAAACCUUGCUGAAGACACAGGUGCAGCCAGAUGAGAUUGGAAGGCAAAGAUGCUUAUUAUAAGAGACAAGGUUAUUACAUAACACCCAUCCUUGAAGUCAAAAACUGGUGGCAUAAUGGCAAGAAUACCUAG